UCCUCCGUCGCCACGCGCCACGCGCCACGCGCCACCGCACCCUCUCCAUCCAACUCGGCCUCUUCUCCACCGAAACCUCCUCUCUCCAUCGCCUCCACCGCCCGCCCUCUCCUCUUCCGCCGCUUCUCUCCGUCGCGCCUCUCUCCAUCGCGCCCGCGCCUACCUCCGCCGGCCUCAAAAGGAACGUGGGUCGCUUCGGUCCGGCGCUGUGCGUGCCCGUCCCGUACCUCCACUCGCUCGCCGGCGAACUCCGGCUCGACCUCCCGCGAGCGAUUUCCUCCGGCGGCGGCGCCACUGUUCCCGGGCCGCGAUCACCGGCAUUGGCUCGUCGUCAUGAUUAAGCCUGGUGGCGAUGGAGCUACGAAGCAGCGGAUGAUCGACUGUCACGUUGAAACCUGGCCAGAGUUGCUGGCAGGCUAUAUGCGAAGAGGAAGCAGAUAAGAAGAUCUACUAUGUCUGCUUUGAGAGAUGCUUUGUUUUUGGGUGUGAGAUCGAGCAGGAGAUGGUCCAACAAGCUCGGAGGGUUGCCUUGGAUGUUGUUUGUGAUUCCGGAGUCAUAUGUCAAUCCUGAAUACAAGGAUUGUGGAGGUGAGUUGUUUGUGAAUGGGAAGAUUGUUCAAAGAUCACCGGAGAGACAAAGAGACUUGAGCCACAACCUCAGGUAGUCAUAGACAGAGACUAGCCAAAAUCUGAUGAAGAGCACGUGACACUCAUUGGUUGGAGAAAAUGGAUGGAGGUACUAAGUAAUGAACAAACCUGUGUAGCCAGUUCUCAGGAGUAAAAAGGAAGGUUCUAUGGGUUAUUGGAGAAUGCAAUUCCUUGUCCAAGUUAUUGCAGUGCUCG